rnacentral:rRNA from 1 species
UGGGGAAUAUUGCACAAUGGGGGAAACCCUGAUGCAGCGACGCCGCGUGAGCGAAGAAGGUUUUCGAAUCGUAAAGCUCUGUCCUAUGGGAAGAUAAUGACGGUACCAUAGGAGGAAGCCCCGGCUAACUACGUGCCAGCAGCCGCGGUAAUACGUAGGGGGCAAGCGUUGUCCGGAAUCACUGGGCGUAAAGGGUUCGCAGGCGGAAAUGCAAGUCAGUUGUGAAAGGCAGAGGCUCAACCUCUGUAAGCAAUUGAAACUGUAUUUCUUGAGAUGUGGAGAGGAAAGUGGAAUUCCUAGUGUAGCGGUGAAAUGCGUAGAUAUUAGGAAGAAUACCGGUGGCGAAGGCGACUUGCUGGACACAAACUGACGCUGAGGAACGAAAGCGUGGGUAGCAAACAGG